rnacentral:misc_RNA from 1 species
GAUGAAGAACGCAGCGAAAUGCGAUACGUAAUGUGAAUUGCAGAAUUCAGUGAAUCAUCGAAUCUUUGAACGCAUAUUGCGCUCUCUGGUAUUCCGGAGAGCAUGCUUGUUUGAGUAUCAGUAAACACCUCAACUUCCAUAUCUUUUUUGAAAUGGGAGUUGGACUUGAGUGAUCCCAACGCUUUUCCUCACCGAAAAGUGGCGGGUUACUUGAAAUGCAGGUGCAGCUGGACUUUUCUCUGAGCUAUAAGCAUAUCUAUUUAGUCUGCCUAAAAAACAGAUUAUUACCUUUGCUGCAGCUAACAUAAAGGAGAUUAGUUCUUGUGCUGACUGAUGCAGGAUUCACAAAGACAGCUUCGGCCGACUUUGUAAACUCGAUCUCAAAGCAAGUAAGACUACCCGCUGAACUUAAGCAUAUCAAUAAGCGGAGGA